AUUGAACGCUGGCGGCAUGCCUUACACAUGCAAGUCGAACGGCAGCACGGGGGCAACCCUGGUGGCGAGUGGCGAACGGGUGAGUAAUGCAUCGGAACGUGCCCCGUAGCGGGGGAUAACCAGUCGAAAGACUGGCUAAUACCGCAUACGCUCCACGGAGGAAAGCAGGGGAUCGCAAGACCUUGCACUAUGGGAGCGGCCGAUGCCCGAUUAGCUAGUUGGUGAGGUAAAGGCUCACCAAGGCGACGAUCGGUAGCUGGUUUGAGAGAACGACCAGCCACACUGGGACUGAGACACGGCCCAGACUCCUACGGGAGGCAGCAGUGGGGAAUUUUGGACAAUGGGCGCAAGCCUGAUCCAGCCAUGCCGCGUGCGGGA
rnacentral:rRNA from 1 species